rnacentral:tRNA from 1 species
AAGACAUUAGUAAAACGGAUAUUACAUCACCUUGUCAAGGUCAAAUUGUGGGUUAGACCCCCGCAUGUCUUU